AUACGGAGGGUGCAAGCGUUAUCCGGAUUUAUUGGGUUUAAAGGGUCCGCAGGCGGACUAGUAAGUCAGGGGUGAAAUCCGGCAGCUCAACUGUCGAACUGCCUUUGAAACUGCUGGUCUUGAGUGAGAAUGAAGCAGCUGGAAUGUGUGGUGUAGCGGUGAAAUGCAUAGAUAUCACACAGAACACCGAUAGCGAAGGCAGGUUGCUAAUUCUCAACUGACGCUGAGGGACGAAAGCGUGGGGAGCAAACAGGAUUAGAUACCCUGGUAGUCCACGCCGUAAACGAUGGAUACUGUCUGUUGGAUUUUCGGAUUCAGUGGAUAAGCGAAAGUGAUAAGUAUCCCACCUGGGGAGUACGUUCGCAAGAAUGAA
rnacentral:rRNA from 1 species